rnacentral:rRNA from 1 species
AGCGAACGCUGGCGGCAGGCCUAACACAUGCAAGUCGAACGAACUCUUCGGAGUUAGUGGCGGACGGGUGAGUAACACGUGGGAACGUGCCUUUUGGUUCGGAAUAACUCAGGGAAACUUGUGCUAAUACCGAAUGUGCCCUUCGGGGGAAAGAUUUAUCGCCAUUAGAGCGGCCCGCGUCUGAUUAGCUAGUUGGUGAGGUAACGGCUCACCAAGGCGACGAUCAGUAGCUGGUCUGAGAGGAUGACCAGCCACACUGGGACUGAGACACGGCCCAGGCUCCUACGGGGGGCAGCAGUGGGGAAUCUUGCGCAAUGGGCGAAAGCCUGACGCAGCCAUGCCGCGUGAAUGAUGAAGGUCUUAGGAUUGUAAAAUUCUUUCACCGGGGACGAUAAUGACGGUACCCGGAGAAGAAGCCCCGGCUAACUUCGUG